rnacentral:rRNA from 1 species
GUCGAGAAUCUUUCACAAUGGGGGCAACCCUGAUGGAGCGACGCCGCGUGGAGGAUAAGGUCUUCGGAUUGUAAACUCCUGUCAUGCGUGAACAAGGUUGCUUGGUUAAUACCUGGGCAAAUUGAUGGUAACGCAAGAGGAAGAGACGGCUAACUCUGUGCCAGCAGCCGCGGUAAUACAGAGGUCUCAAGCGUUGUUCGGAAUCACUGGGCGGAAAGGGUGCGUAGGUGGCGUGGUAAGUCAGAUGUGAAAGCCCGGGGCUCAACCUCGGAACUGCAUCCGAUACAGCCAGACUAGAGUACGGGAGAGGUGACUAGAAUGCUCCGUGUAGCAGUGAAAUGCGUAGAUAUCGAGAGGAAUACCAAAGGCGUAGGCAGGUCACUGGACGGUUACUAACACUGAGGCACGAAGGCCAGGGGAGCGAACGGGAUUAGAAACCCGGGUAGUCC